GCCUGGGUGGCUCAGUCGGUUGGGCGUCUGACUUCGGCUCAGGUCAUAAUCUCACACGUGUGGGUUCGAGCCCCGCGUCAGGCU
rnacentral:tRNA from 1 species